UCCUUUAUUGUUGUGGCCAUCUCCUUAA
rnacentral:sRNA from 1 species